UUCUACGGGAGGCAGCAGUGGGGAAUAUUGGACAAUGGGCGCAAGCCUGACCCAGCAAUGCCGCGUGUGUGAAGAAGGCCUUCGGGUUGUAAAGCACUUUUAUCAGGAGCGAAAUACCACGGGCUAAUACCCUAUGGGGCUGACGGUACCUGAGGAAUAAGCACCGGCUAACUUCGUGCCAGCAGCCGCGGUAAUACGAAGGGUGCAAGCGUUAAUCGGAAUUACUGGGCGUAAAGCGUGCGUAGGCGGUUUGUUAAGCCUGCUGUGAAAUCCCCGGGCUCAACCUGGGAAUGGCAGUGGAUACUGGCAAGCUAGAGUGUGUCAGAGGAUGGUGGAAUUCCCGGUGUAGCGGUGAAAUGCGUAGAGAUCGGGAGGAACAUCAGUGGCGAAGGCGGCCAUCUGGGACAACACUGACGCUGAGGCACGAAAGCGUGGGGGGCAAACAGGAUUAGAUACCCUGGUAGUCCACGCCCUAAACGAUGCGAACUGGAUGUUGGUCUCAACUCGGAGAUCAGUGUCGAAGCUAACGCGUUAAGUUCGCCGCCUGGGGAGUACGGUCGCAAGACUGAAACUCAAAUGAAUUGACGGA
rnacentral:rRNA from 1 species